rnacentral:rRNA from 1 species
AGAGUGAACGCUGGCGGUAGGCCUAACACAUGCAAGUCGAACGGCAGCACAGUAGGAGCUUGCUCUUACGGGUGGCGAGUGGCGGACGGGUGAGGAAUACAUCGGAAUCUACCUUUUGGUGGGGGAUAACGUAGGGAAACUUACGCUAAUACCGCAUACGCCCUUCGGGGGAAAGCCGGGGACCAGCAAUGGCCUGGCGCUGAUAGAUGAGCCGAUGUCGGAUUAGCUAGUUGGUGAGGUAAUGGCUCACCAAGGCGACGAUCCGUAGCUGGUCUGAGAGGAUGAUCAGCCACACUGGAACUGAGACACGGUCCAGACUCCUACGGGAGCAGCAGUAGGGGAAUAUGGACAAGUGGGACGAAGCCUGA